rnacentral:lncRNA from 1 species
UUCUUCCGAAGGAAAUAUGUCUGCUCCUCAUGGAAAUCCUCCUGAAAGCCAUCACCCUGUUCCAAACAUGGAUGGCCAGAGUUCUGUGAUACUAGGGUUGAGCAGACAACAAUAUGACCAAUUGAUGACCUUGCUACAACAAACUCAGUUAGGGGACUCCACUGCCCAGAAGGGUUGAGCAGACAACAAUAUGACCAAUUGAUGACCUUGCUACAACAAACUCAGUUAGGGGACUCUACUGCCCAGACUCCUCCUCCCAUGUAUGCUGCCUAUUUUGCUGGUACUAUGCUAACUAAGAGCCUUGUUUCUGAUUUCAAAUUUUGCAUGCUUACUCACAUUGAUUCUGCCACCUGGAUAAUAGACUCAGGGUCAUCUAACCAUAUGACCUAUAAUAAAAAUUUACUCUUUAACAUCACACAUUUAACUGUGCCCUAUCUUGUAACCCUUCCUAAUGGAUAUAAAGUGAAAGUGACAUGCACAGAAUCUUUUGCAUUAACUCCAUUCAUCAUUCUUCAUGAUGUCUUGUUUGUUCUUUCUUUCAAACACAACAUGAUUUCUGUCCACAAACUAGUAAAAC